AUCCAGCUGACGAGUCCAAAAUAGGACGGAACACGUGUCAAUCUGAAU
rfam:Schistosoma rodhaini strain Burundi genome assembly, scaffold: SROB_scaffold0007009